CCUACGGGUGGCAGCAGUGGGGAAUAUUGGACAAUGGGCGAAAGCCUGAUCCAGCCAUGCCGCGUGUGUGAAGAAGGCCUUCGGGUUGUAAAGCACUUUCAGUGGGGAAGAAAGCCUUGGGGCUAAUACCCUCGAGGAAGGACAUCACCCACAGAAGAAGCACCGGCUAACUCCGUGCCAGCAGCCGCGGUAAUACGGAGGGUGCGAGCGUUAAUCGGAAUUACUGGGCGUAAAGCGCGCGUAGGCGGUCUGAUAAGCCGGUUGUGAAAGCCCCGGGCUCAACCUGGGAACGGCAUCCGGAACUGGCAGGCUAGAGUGCAGGAGAGGGAGGUAGAAUUCCCGGUGUAGCGGUGAAAUGCGUAGAGAUCGGGAGGAAUACCAGUGGCGAAGGCGGCCUUCUGGACAGACACUGACGCUGAGGUGCGAAAGCGUGGGUAGCAAACAGGAUUAGAUACCCGAGUAGUC
rnacentral:rRNA from 1 species